ensembl:lncRNA
UAACAGUGUUUUCGAUUGUCUUAAUUCCUCUCAGAGAAAAGCAAAGACACACAGGAAACUUUCUAUACACAGAAACCACAUGAAGAAGAAGUGGAGAAUAGUGGUGCUGUGAGUGUGUGUGAAAGAGUGCUAAUGUGUGUGGGUGUGAAGUGUGCAGUUAUUGUUUUAAUGUGUUGAUGUUCUAAGCUGGCGUAGCUGCAGCUGACCGCAGCCUGAUUCAAUAAACUGCUUAUGCGAGAAACUCUCUUCUGUGUCAAUGUGGGGAAAAACAUUACAAUGUCAUGUACAUAUUACAUAAUGCAGAUUUUGGGAAUUUAUUUCUGGAAAACUAAAGCCAAGCUGGCUUAUUUAUCUUAUUAAAAACCUGACUAGAAAACUUCUUCCCUUACAUACAAAUCACUGCAUUUCACAUGUGAUCAUCUGAUUAAUUUUAGUCAAGCUUUCUGUGAAUAGUUUUGUUCUUAGGUAAAGGAGCAGAUCUAGAGGAUCACAGGUAGAGACUGUUGCGGUGAACUGGGAUGUUUGGAUGCUGUCACCCCCCACCCCCACCUUUCACACCUUCACCCAGUGAUCCUGACCCCUUCUGCUCUCCGGACCUGCCUGAUCCGUCCUGAUGCUCUUCUUCUGGUUGGAGUUCUCAUCAGUUGGAGUCACAUGCUGCUGCUGAGGAUGUCCCACAUGGUGCAGUAUAAAGAUCACUGAGAUUACUGAGGACGGUUCCACUUAAACACCAUAAAGAUGCUCUGGACCUCAGUUCAUAUGAACAGUUAUGCUAUGAUAGCUUUAGCACUUCAAUUACCACAAACAGUUCUGCACUCGAGUCUCCAUCAGUGAACAGUGGAGAAGUUCAACACAACAGACUUGAGGACAGCUUCCUUUUGAGUCCGGUUCCUCUCGAGGUUUCUUCCUCAUAUCGUCUCAGGGAGUUUUUCCUCACCACCGUCACCUCUCGCUGUUCAUUAGAGAUAAAUUCAUACAUUUAACAUCUAUAUCCUGAGUGUAUAUAUUUCUGUAACGCUGCUCUGGGACAAUGUCCACUGUUAAACACACUACACAAAUAACACUGAACUGAACUCUCCAUUUGUAAACAAUCCUUCUCACUGUAGAAUGGUGAAUUUCAAAUAGCUUGGAGAUGGCCUUAUAACCCUUCCUAGAUUAACGAGUAGCAAUAAUUGCUUCUCUGAGGUCAUGGCUGAUGUCCUUUCCUCUUGGCAUGAUUUAGAAACACACCUGAGAGCUCCAGGAAAACCAAACUGCCAAAUCUGCUUUUAUAAAUAUGCUCACUCUUCUUGAUGAUUGACUAAUCUUGUGCAUUUCACUGGAAACAUCUGGCUACUAAUAACUCUCUUAAUUUUAUGGACAUAGGAAGGGUAUACUUAUUUUUUCCCACCUGGUUUCAGAAUGUUGGUUUCUAUUUGACUAAAUGGAAAAUGACUACAUGUUGAAAUUUGUUUUGUUUUUUGCUUGUUGAUUGAAGUUGGUGAGGACCGC